rnacentral:lncRNA from 1 species
GAUGAUUCACUCCAGUAAACUGUAAAGAAUGUGUACGGGGCCUUCGAUCAGGUAGUUGACCCGUUGUAAAAACAUUGAUCGGAUAUCUCUUUUCCCCGCUUGGAACUAGACUUGUUCAAAAAAAUUUAGGACAGGGCUUCGGUGAUAAUCUUAGUGCAUUAUUUUAAGGUGGAAAGGCUUAACUUCCUUUUUAUUUUCUUUUUAUUUCUUUAUCUAUAAUGUCG